GACAGAGGUGCCGAGCGUUAGGCGGAAUCACUGGGCUUAAAGCGUGUGUAGGCGGGCGCCUCAGUACCUUGUGAAAUCCCCCGGCUCAACCGGGGAACGGCUGGGUAUACUGGGCGCCUUGAGAGACUCAGGGGCGAGCGGAACAGGCGGUGGAGCGGUGAAAUGCGUAGAUAUCGCCUGGAACGCCGACGGUGAAAACAGCUCGCUGGGGGUCUUCUGACGCUGAGACACGAAAGCCAGGGGAGCGAACGGG
rnacentral:rRNA from 1 species